AGCGAACGCUGGCGGCAUGCCUAACACAUGCAAGUCGCACGGGGGGGCUUCGGCCUCCCAGUGGCGGACGGGUGAGGAACGCGUAGGGACCUGUCGAGGGGUGGGGGAUAACCGCGGGAAACUGCGGCUAAUACCGCAUGACGCCGCGGCGUGACAGCCGGGGCCAAAGGCGAAAGCCGCCCGCCGAGGGGCCUGCGUCCGAUUAGCUGGUUGGCGGGGUAGCGGCCCACCAAGGCGUCGAUCGGUAGCUGGUCUGAGAGGGUGAUCAGCCACACCGGGACUGAGACACGGCCCGGACUCCUACGGGAGGAAGCAGUGGGGAAUAUUGGACAAUGGGCGCAAGCCUGAUCCAGCAAUGCCGCGUGGGUGAAGAAGGUCUUCGGAUUGUAAAGCCCUUUCGGCGGGGACGAUGGUGACGGUACCCGCAGAAGAAGCCCCGGCUAACUUCGUG
rnacentral:rRNA from 1 species